rnacentral:rRNA from 1 species
CUUGAUGUCAUUAAUUUGGUGUCUUGGGAAAUCAGGACUGUUACUUUGAAAAAAUUAGAGUGUUUAAAGCAGGCUCGCGCUUGAAUACAUUAGCAUGGAAUAAUGAAAUAGGACGUUUGAUUCUAUUUUGUUGGUUUCUAGGAUCGACGUAAUGAUUAAUAGGGAUAGUUGGGGGUAUUAGUAUUCAAUUGUCAGAGGUGAAAUUCUUGGAUUUAUUGAAGACUAACUACUGCGAAAGCAUUUGCCAAGGAUGUUUUCAUUAAUCAAGAACGAAAGUUAGGGGAUCGAAGACGAUCAGAUACCGUCGUAGUCUUAACCAUAAACUAUGCCGACUAGGGAUCGGAUGAUGUUGAUUUUUUAAUGACUCAUUCGGCGCCUUACGGGAAACCAAAGUGUUUGGGUUCCGGGGGGAGUAUGGUCGCAAGGCUGAAACUUAAAGGAAUUGACGGAAGGGCACCACCAGGGGUGGAGCCUGCG